GCUUAACGCGAAGAACCUUACCAGGCCUUGACAUGCAGAGAACUUUCCAGAGAUGGAUUGGUGCCUUCGGGAACUCUGACACAGGUGCUGCAUGGCUGUCGUCAACUCGUGUCAUGAGGUGUUGGGUUAAGUCCCGUAACGAGCGCAACCCUUGUCCUUAGUUACCAGCACGUUAUGGUGGGCACUCUAAGGAGACUGCCGGUGACAAACCGGAGGAAGGUGGGGAUGACGUCAAGUCAUCAUGGCCCUUACGGCCUGGGCUACACACGUGCUACAAUGGUCGGUACAGAGGGUUGCCAAGCCGCGAGGUGGAGCUAAGUCUCACAAAACCGAUCGUAGUCCGGAUCGCAGUCUGCAACUCGACUGCGUGAAGUCGGAAUCGCUAGUAAUCGUGAAUCAGAAUGUCACGGUGAAUACGUUCCCGGGGUCUUGUACACACCGGGGGUCUUGUACACACCGGG
rnacentral:rRNA from 1 species